rnacentral:lncRNA from 15 species
UUUGAUGCUCUCCCUUCCACUUGCAUUAGUUUUCGUGGGUCUUACUUGUUUUUACCUUUUUAAUGAAUCUGAGACUAAACGCUCUCUGCAAACACACUGAUGGGUAAGCUCUGAUUCGACGGGGGUUUUACCGAGCACUGAAAUGCUGCUUCCGACUUUAUAGUGCAUAGGCGGGGUACAAAACGCUACAAGCACACGAUUGGUCACAGUUAAGUUUACGUAAAUAUCGAGGUGACGGCGGUUCAUCUUUGUGAGUUUUAAGCUGCUGGCGGAUUGUUUUUCCUUCAGAAGGCGUUCGAACAUCUGUGAGCCUCGCGUUACGAUAUCUGCCCUCUACGAACACCAUGUGCUUACUACUGAACGAAUGUUUUACAGCGUCUGUCUGUACUGGGUGUGUGUGUGUGUGUGCGUGUGCGUGUGCAAGACUUGAGUGUAUGAAUUGAACCUGAGGAAAACCAAAGUGCGUGGAGGCGGUACAGAAUGUGUGAGUAGGGUGUGUAUUCAGGCGUCGGUGUGUGUUUUCAGCACUUUUCCAAGACAGGCUCAAUUGUCGCUACCGCGUCCUGAAUAGUCACAGAGAGAAUGGCAGCAUUUAUUUAUUGGAAACUAUAGUUGAUGUAAAGGUACUUUCUCAUCGCCCUCUUUAAUGUGCGACUGAGAGUGUUGCAAGUGUAAAAUAAAAAUGCGUCUCACUUUGUACCUUAAUGGGCCUAGUUAGAGAUUACUGGACACUGGAAACAAUCAAUGUUUUUUCCUGAAUUGUACACAUGAAAUCCUUGUGGAGAAAAUCCUGUAUUUUACACUAGUGUCAGUUUCUAGAUAUGCAAUCAAGCGCCCCCCCCCCCCAUGGAAAGGUCUACACCGCCUGCUCUAAUUGUACUUUAGUGUAGAUUUUACCAUAGUUGUGAAAGAGGGGAAUCACUAUCUGCUGUCCAGGGAUUGCAUAAAAACACAGGUGACACUGUAAAACAUCAUUCUCCGCUCUCCGCUCCUCUAUUUAUAAUCACUGCUGGGCUUUUCUUCUUUCGUUUAGUUUUUUUUUUUUUUUUGCUGAAACUUUCACUAUAUCCUGACAGUAGUACAUGAGACUGAUCAUUUGUGAAAAAUUCCAGUUCCUCUUGCUCCAACCCAAUGCGUCUUUAUAUCUUUCUCGUCUCUGAUUGGUUGUUUUUGUCCAGGCCCGGUGGAUUCUCGCAAAUGCCAUCGAGAGCUAGAGGAACCUGAUUUUUUUCACAGAGUAUCUGUCUCGUGUACUACUCUCUAGAUACAGUGAAAAUUUCAGCAAAUACGACAAAAAGUUAUGUUGAUAAAAGUUACCUCCUGCAGCUUUAACAUUCGAAUAAAUAAGAAAUUGUGGAAAAUAUAAAACAUAAUAAAAUAUAACAGUGAGCUUUGACUCUGUUGCAUGGUAAUUAGCCCAGUCCUCACAA